UCUCCGUAGGUGAACCUGCGGAGGGAUCAUUACAAGAGUGAGGGCCCUCGUGGCCCGAACCUCCAACCCCAUGUUGUCCGACUCUGUUGCCUCGGGGGCGACCCGGCCCUCCUGGGCGUCGGGGCCCCCGGUGGUCCAUCUCAACCCUGCAUCUGUGCGUCUGCGUAAAUAUUUGAAUCAAACAAAACUUUCAACAACGGAUCUCUUGGUUCUGGAAUCGAUGAAGAACGCAGC
rnacentral:misc_RNA from 1 species